GUGCAGCAGUCGAGAAUUUUUCACAAUGGGGGCAACCCUGAUGGAGCGACGCCGCGUGGAGGAUGAAGGCUUUCGGGUUGUAAACUCCUGUCAUUUGAGAACAAGUGUAGCCAACUAACUAUUGGCUACUUGAUAGUAUCAGAAGAGGAAGGGACGGCUAACUCUGUGCCAGCAGCCGCGGUAAUACAGAGGUCCCAAGCGUUGUUCGGAUUCAUUGGGCGUAAAGGGUGCGUAGGUGGCGCCGUAAGUGGGGUGUGAAAUUUCGGAGCUUAACUCCGAAACUGCAUUCCAUACUGCGGUGCUUGAGGACUGGAGAGGAGACUGGAAUUCAUGGUGUAGCAGUGAAAUGCGUAGAGAUCAUGAGGAAGACCAGUGGCGAAGGCGGGUCUCUGGACAGUUCCUGACACUGAGGCACGAAGGCUAGGGGAGCGAACGGGAUUAGAUACCCGCGUAGU
rnacentral:rRNA from 1 species